UCAAGCUACUAAGUGCAAAUGGUGAAUGCCUAGGAGCCGGGAGGCGAAGAAGGACGUGAUAAGCUGCGAAAAGCUGCGGGUAACUGCAAACGAGUACCGAUCCGCAGAUUUCCGAAUGGAGCAAUCCGGCAGUAGUAAUGUGCUGUCAUUUCCGGAUGAAUGGAUAGUCCGGAGAAGCAAGACGGGGUGAAGUGAAACAUCUCAGUAACCCCAGGAAAAGAAAAUGACAAUGAUUCCGUAAGUAGUGGCGAGCGAAAGCGGAAGAGCCCAAACCGGGGGGAUUUAUCCUUCCGGGGUAGCGGGACCACCAACAAAUCCAGACCGAAGGCGAGCUGAACGUUUUGGAAAGAACGGCCACAGAGUGUGAAAGCCACGUAAGCGAAGUUGGAAGUCGGCCGGUGGUAUCCCAAGUAAUGCGGUGUAAGUGGAACUCUGCAUGAAUCUGUCCCGACCAUGGGAUAAGGCUAAAUACUACCCGGCUACCGAUAGUGAACAAGUACCGUGAGGGAAAGGUGAAAAGAACCCCUUCUAGGGGAGUGAAAAGAAUCUGCAACCAUUUGCAUACAAAGUGUGGGAGCGCCAAAGAGGGCGUGACCGCCUGCCUUUUGCAUAAUGAGUCUGCGAGUUAUUAUCAGUAGCAAGCUUAAGGGAUGAGAAUUCCGGAGGCGAAGCGAAAGCGAGUGUGAAAAGCGCGAGGAAGUUGCUGGUGAUAGACCCGAAGCGGAGGUGAUCUACACUUGAGCAGGUUGAAGCUGUGGUAACACACAGUGGAGGACCGAACUGGUGAACGUUGAAAAGUUCUGAGAUGACUUGAGUGUAGGAGCGAAAGACUAAUCAAACCCCGUAAUAGCUGGUUCUCUCCGAAAUCGCUUGAGGGCGAGUGUUGAAUAAGUACUCCAUGGAGGUAGAGCACUGGAUGGCUUAGGGGCCUUACCGGGCUGCCAAAACCAAUCAAACUCCGAAUACCAUGGACCCCAUUAAUUCAGCAGUCAGGCAGUGGGGGAUAAGCUUCAUUGCCGAGAGGAAAACAGUCCAGACCGUCAGCUAAGGUGCCCCAACAAGGUUAAGUGGAAAGGAUGUGACGUCGCGAAGACAGUGAGGAUGUUGGCUUAGAGGCAGCCAUCAUUUAAACAGUGCGUAACAGCUGACUCAUCGAGCGAUGCCGCGCCGAAAAUGAUUGGCGAUAAAACCUUGUACCGAAGCUACGGAUUCUCAAAGACUAAGGUUUUUGGGAGUGGUAGGAGAGCGUAGUUGCAGCGCUGAAGCCGAAGGGAGACCUGAGGUGGAGCGGCAACUAGUGAGAAUGCAGACACGAGUAGCGAUAAAUCAGAUGAGAAUUCUGAUCGCCGAAAACCUAAGGUUUCCUGGGGCAGGUUCGUCCUCCCAGGCUUAGCCGGGAGCUAAGGCCAGGCCGUAAGGCGUAGCCGAUGCACAGAAGGUCAAUAAUCCUUCGCCGGGCCGGGGUUAGGUUAAGAUGACGCAAGCACGGGAAAACGGGUUAAGUGAGCGGAUUCACAGCGCGGAAUAAUAGCCGCGCGUUCCCGCGGACCCCUUGCCGAGAAAAGUCUUAACCGUGCUCCCCGGUUCGCCCGUACCGUAAACCGACACAGGUGGGUGAGAUGAGUAUUCUAAGGCGCGCGAGAGAAACCUCUCUAAGGAACUAGGCAAAAUAGCCCCGUAACUUCGGGAAAAGGGGUGCCCACCGCAAGGUGGGCCACAGUAAAUGGAGCUUUGCGACUGUUUAACAAAAGCAUAGCGCUCUGCCAAGUUGAUAAAACAACGUAUAGGGCGUGACACGUGACCAAUGCGAAAAGAUGAAGGCAACUUGUUAGGUGGUUUAGUAAUAGACUGCCGAAGCUCGGACCCCAAGUCCUCGUGAAUGUCGGCCGUAACUAUAACGGUCCUAAGGUAGCGAAAUUCCUUGUCGGGUAAGUUCCGACCUGCACGAAUCGUGUAACGACAAAGCUGCUGUCUCGGAGAGGAUCUCGGCGAAACUGUAAUGGCGGUGAAGAUGCCGCCUGCCCGCAGAAGGACGGAAAGACCCUAUGCACCUUUACUGUAAGCUCGUAUUGUGUUCUUUUUAAUGAUGCGUAGUG
rnacentral:rRNA from 1 species